GAUUGGAGCUAUUGAUGGCUGCAAUAUAAAUUUCAAGGCUCCCCUGAAACAGCAAGGUGGCUAUAUUGAUAAAAAUUCAAACCAUAGCAUGAAGAUGCAAGCUGUUGUUACUGCUUAAAGGAUAUUUACAACUAUAAAUGUUGGAUUUCCGGGUUCAGUUCAUGACUCUAGGAUUUUUAAUAAUAGUCAGUUGUUCUUACAAACACAAGAAAAUAUCCAAAAAUAUUAUCCUUUAGAAGACUACCAUAUUUUAGGUGACAAGGCUUAUCCACUUUUAGGUUGGUUGUUGACACCUUUUAAAGAAUAUGGAAAUUUGAAUCAAAGGAAAACUAUGCACAACUUAAAACACAGUAAAACUAGAAUUCCAGUGGAACACACAUUCGGUAUAUUAAAAGGACGGUGGAGAAUAUUAAAAUACAUAAAUGUGAAUUGUUCUAAAAAAGCAACAAAAAUCAUUGUUGCAUGCUGUGUCUUGCACAAUUACUGUUAUGAAAACCUGGAUGAAUGGACUGGUGAAAUAGAUGAAAAUGAUAAU